CGCACGCGUGAUGACCAGUCGCACACUCGUCUAACUCGGCGCAGUUGAAUUUGUCUACUCUGUGGUAACCCGGAAGACACUCGCACGUGGUCGACAGACGGAAAUAUCACGAUCGCCAUCUCAAUGGAUUUAAUUGAAUUAAAGGCUAUUAAAUAUCGACGGGAAAGGAAAACAAAAAAAAAAAAAAGAGAAGAGAAGAAAAGGCACACAAAAAGAGAGAGAGAGAGAGCAAAGUUAGAGAAGCAUUAGAUACCGUGACAGUUAUGACCGUCCCCCUGGAAACCGAUAUCGCAAUGGCAGGCGUACGUUGUCUGCAGAUUCAGGCAGGACGCAUUAGCAUGACACUUGUGGCCCUUCGCACAGUAGUCCACCCCUGGUUAAAUUGGGUUAGCCAAGGAAAGAAUGCAGAGAUGAUAUUGGUCGGCUGCCAUGCCAUUCAGGAUACGAAUAUUACAUUAUAGCA
rnacentral:lncRNA from 11 species